GACGUAGGGUGCAAGCGUUGUCCGGAUUUACUGGGCGUAAAGAGCGCGUAGGCGGUCUGUUAAGUGAGAAGUGAAAGCUCCGGGCUCAACUCGGAAAUGGCUUUUCAUACUGGCAGACUGGAGUGAUGCAGAGGUUUGUGGAAUUCCUGGUGUAGCGGUGAAAUGCUUAGAUAUGUCAUAGAACACCGAUCGCGAAGGCAGUCCGCCAAACCAUUACUGACACUGAAACACGAAAGUGCGGGGAUCAAACAGG
rnacentral:rRNA from 1 species